rnacentral:rRNA from 1 species
GUGCCAGCCGCCGCGGUAAUACGGAGGAUCCGAGCGUUAUCCGGAUUUAUUUGGGUUUAAAGGGUGCGUAGCGGGCUGCUAAGUCAGCGGUGAAAUCCCGGGGGCUCAACCCCUGGCACUGCCGUUGAUACUGGCGGCCUUGAGAUCAUGCCGAUGGCGGCGGAAUGUGCAGUGUAGCGGUGAAAUGCUUAGAUAUUGCACAGAACUCCGAUUGCUAAGGCAGCUGCCAAGAGAUGAACUGACGCUGACGCACAAAACCAUGGGUAUCAAACAGGAUUAGAUACCCUGGUAGUCCAUGCAGUAAACGAUGAGCGCCCGCUGUUCGCCUUAUGAGGUGAGCAGCCUAGGGAAACCGUUAAGCGCUCCACCUGGGGAGUACGCCGGCAACGGUGAAACUCAAAGGAAUUGACGGGGGCCCGCACAAGCGGAGGAACAUGUGGUUUAAUUCGAUGAUACGCGAGGAACCUUACCCGGGCUUGAAAUAUAUCCGACCGGCUUGGAGACAAGCCUUCCAGCAAUGGCGGAUAUGUAGGUGCUGCAUGGUUGUCGUCAGCUCGUGCCGUGAGGUGUCGGCUUAAGUGCCAUAACGAGCGCAACCCUCGUCCGCAGUUGCCAUCGGGUAAUGCCGGGGACUCUGCGGAGACUGCCGCCGCAAGGUGCGAGGAAGGCGAGGAUGACGUCAAAUCAGCACGGCCCUUACGUCCGGGGCUACACACGUGUUACAAUGGCGGGGACAGCGGGAAGCCAGGCGGCGACGCCGAGCGGAUCCCCCAAACCCCGCCCUAGUUCGGACUGGAGUCUGCAACCCGACUCCACGAAGCUGGAUUCGCUAGUAAUCGCGCAUCCGCCACGGCGCGGUGAAUACGUUCCCGGGCCUUGUACACACCGCCCGU